UUACUCAAAGUAGCAGUCCUGGGGGCAUCAGACAAGCCGAUUGAGCCGCCAGCUUUUCCUCUGAUAUUAGGUAAAUUAAUUGAUGUGCAAUCUCUUCUCUAAUUUUUCGAAGCUUAAAUGAUACAUAUAUGAUCAAAUAUGAAAGGGUAAACAAGGGUCUUGCUCCUUUGCUUUCCUCCUCGUGCAAUUUUCGCAGGCAAGAGAUCUGCAACUGGUAGCAUGACAAGGGCUCAGAGGAUUGAGAGAUUUGGUCACCCACCUUAAAAGAAAUAGAAUGUGAUUCGGGAGGAUGAAAAUUUUUAUUGGCAACUACCACACCCAAUAGCCUACCAGAAAUCAAAUUCCAAGUUUCAAGAGAUAAUUAAGCUUCCAACUAACAAAUGGAGUGGGGUGUUAGCUCGUAGAGAGCCAUACGAUUGGCUUUAAGCGAGGAAAAAUCCAACCUGUCUUGGAAUUGCAUUGCGAGCCUAGAAUCCCACCAUUGAUGAAUGAUUAUCCAUUACAAACUAAUCAAAUCCUUGGCCAGCAAUCCCCAGCCACAUCAGUGACCAGACAGAAUCCAUAGUCCUGUUAGCAGCAUAUAAACUAGUCCGUUUGUUCUUUUAUUCGAAGCAUGUGCUUCCUUAACUCUCACAUAAAUUUUAGUCUUUUACAGUAUAGUUCAGUGAGAAAACAAGAACAAUUGCAGAAUAAAAGAAGAGCUUAAUCUUAAAAAUUUACACUUGGAAGGAUCUUUAGGAUGUGAUGAUCGAAGAAGAAGAAGAAUCUCAGCAAGUAAGAGACCAUGUCGAACCACCAUCAGCACCACUUUUUCCACCCUGAAGAGCUCGGUUCUAUGGUCCUUUUAUAGAGCUAUUACUGCAAACCUCAUUUGCAUCCCUUCUCUUCCUCUGUCACUAUUUCCACCGUAAUUGGCUGCAAUAAGGAAGCUGACCCCUGUAAUGGUGUUGGCCUUUUAAUUAGGCAUUGCAUGGUCUUUUGGUGGCAUGAUAUCUAUCCUCGUUCAGGGGAUCAUGUUAAUCCAGCUGUGACAUUCUGUCUGUUCCUAGCAAAGAAAGGUAUCAUUGAUACGAGCAGGUGGAUUAUAUGGUGGCUCAAUGCCUGGGAGCAACAGGUGGAGUGGGUUUGGUCAAGGCAUAUAUGGAAGACUUCUAUAAAGCAGAAAGAGGUGGUGCUAAUCUGGUGGCUCCUACACACUAAGGAACUGCUUUAGGCAUUUAUUGGGACUUUCGUAUUAGUCUACACAGUAUUUUCUGCUACUGAUCCUAAGCGUAGUGCACGUUUUUCUCACGUUCCUGUAAGUAUUAUUAGCUUAUAAUUGCCAAAAAAAUAUAUUUUACUGAUCAAUAUUCUUGAUAUAUACACUUGUGUUUUGGUGGACAAUUGUAUUAUGCUGUUCGGGUUUUGUCACCUUUGCCAAUUGGGUUUGCAGGAUUUAUGGUGCAUUUAGCCACCAUCCCCACAACAGGAACUGGAAUCAACCCAGCUCGAAGCUUUGAGGCUGCUAGCUGUUAUAUAUAACAAUGAAAAAGCCUGGAAUGAUCAGGCUUGUACUUUAAAUUUGGCUAAAUUUGUCUUGUCCCCUCAUAACUUAAAUUUGCUUUAGGAAGUGCGAAUA